rnacentral:rRNA from 1 species
UUAAGCAUAUCAAUAAGCGGAGGAAAAGAAACCAACAGGGAUUGCCCUAGUAACGGCGAGUGAAGCGGCAACAGCUCAAAUUUGAAAUCUGGCUCUCGGGCCCGAGUUGUAAUUUGUAGAGGAUGCUUUUGGUGCGGUGCCUUCCGAGUUCCCUGGAACGGGACGCCAUAGAGGGUGAGAGCCCCGUCUGGUUGGAUGCCAAUCCUCUGUAAAGCUCCUUCGACGAGUCGAGUAGUUUGGGAAUGCUGCUCUAAAUGGGAGGUAUAUGUCUUCUAAAGCUAAAUACCGGCCAGAGACCGAUAGCGCACAAGUAGAGUGAUCGAAAGAUGAAAAGAACUUUGAAAAGAGAGUUAAAAAGUACGUGAAAUUGUUGAAAGGGAAGCGCUUGUGACCAGACUUGGGCUUGGUUGAUCAUCCAGGGUUCUCCCUGGUGCACUCUUCCGGCUCAGGCCAGCAUCAGUUUGCCUCGGGGGAUAAAGGCUUCGGGAAUGUGGCUCUCUCCGGGGAGUGUUAUAGCCCGCUGCGUAAUACCCUGUGGCGGACUGAGGUUCGCGCAUUCGCAAGGAUGCUGGCGUAAUGGUCAUCAGUGACCCGUCUUGAAACACGGACCAAGGAGUCGUCUUCGUAUGCGAGUGUUCGGGUGUCAAACCCCUACGCGAAAUGAAAGUGAACGCAGGUGAGAGCUUCGGCGCAUCAUCGACCGAUCCUGAUGUUCUCGGAUGGAUUUGAGUAAGAGCAUACGGAGCCGGACCCGAAAGAAGGUGAACUAUGCCUGUGUAGGGUGAAGCCAGAGGAAACUCUGGUGGAGGCUCGCAGCGGUUCUGACGUGCAAAUCGAUCGUCAAACAUGGGCAUGGGGGCGAAAGACUAAUCGAACCUUCUAGUAGCUGGUUUCCGCCGAA